GUGGUGGUUCCCUGUUGAGUGUUGUCGUGAAGGUGGCCUUCCUUCACCCAUGUUCUACUGUAGUCCACAACCAACUGUUGAGUGUUGUGGUGAAGGUGGCCUUCCUUCACCCAUGUUCUACUGUAGUCCACAACCAACUGUUGAGUGUUGUGGUGAAGGUGGCCUUCCUUCACCCAUGUUCUACUGUAGUCCACAACCAACUGUUGAGUGUUGUGGUGAAGGUGGCCUUCCUUCACCCAUGUUCUACUGUAGUCCACAACCAACUGUUGAGUGUUGUGGUGAAGGUGGCCUUCCUUCACCCAUGUUCUACUGUAGUCCACAACCAACUGUUGAGUGUUGUGGUGAAGGUGGCCUUCCUUCACCCAUGUUCUACUGUAGUCCACAACCAACUAUGCAGCCUGACUUAGUACUGCUCAUGUGACGUGUCGAUGUUCAAUAAAGAUCUGCGGUGAA